ACGGGAGGCAGCAGUGAGGAAUAUUGGUCAAUGGACGAGAGUCUGAACCAGCCAAGUAGCGUGCAGGAUGACGGCCCUCCGGGUUGUAAACUGCUUUUAGUUGGGAAUAAAAAAGUCCACGUGUGGGCUCUUGCAUGUACCGCAUGAAUAAGGAUCGGCUAAUUCCGUGCCAGCAGCCGCGGUAAUACGGAAGAUCCGAGCGUUAUCCGGAUUUAUUGGGUUUAAAGGGAGCGUAGGCGGGCCUUUAAGUCAGUGGUCAAAGCGUGUGGCUCAACCAUACCACGCCGUUGAUACUGGAGGCCUUGAGUGCACAUAAGGAUGGUGGAAUUCAUGGUGUAGCGGUGAAAUGCUUAGAUAUCAUGAAGAACUCCGAUUGCGAAGGCAGCUGUCCGGGGUGUAACUGACGCUAAUGCUCGAAAGUGCGGGUAUCAAACAGGAUUAGAUACCCUGGUA
rnacentral:rRNA from 1 species